GUAUGUACAGUUGUUUGGUCAAAAACUUGUGGACUGCACAUCUUUACCGUACGCUCAUCACUCUCAAUUUGGUUGCGCCUACAUUGCGGGAACGUCUAGGAAAAUAACAGAUCAGCAGAUCUCGCUGCUUCGAAAGGCAUUCCCCCGUAUGAGCCUCAUGGAAAAUAUUUACGUUAUACUUAACUUUAUUGAAAUACCACCGAAAGGCGACUAUAGCGGUGUGAUUUUCGGAGACACUGAAAUUCACAUGUACCAGCCUAUGUCUGACAAUACAAUCACAAGACCGUCCAGUCACGGUUACGAUCAGCUUGAAAAAUUUUGCCAGAAUUCUUUUCAGCCUAUACUCCCAAAACCGCAAUCCGUC